UGGGGAAUAUUGCACAAUGGGCGAAAGCCUGAUGCAGCAACGCCGCGUGUGUGAAGAAGGCCUUCGGGUUGUAAAGCACUUUUGUCCGGAAAGAAAUCCUUGGCUCUAAUACAGUCGGGGGAUGACGGUACCGGAAGAAUAAGCACCGGCUAACUACGUGCCAGCAGCCGCGGUAAUACGUAGGGUGCAAGCGUUAAUCGGAAUUACUGGGCGUAAAGCGUGCGCAGGCGGUUUGCUAAGACCGAUGUGAAAUCCCCGGGCUCAACCUGGGAACUGCAUUGGUGACUGGCAGGCUAGAGUAUGGCAGAGGGGGGUAGAAUUCCACGUGUAGCAGUGAAAUGCGUAGAGAUGUGGAGGAAUACCGAUGGCGAAGGCAGCCCCCUGGGCCAAUACUGACGCUCAUGCACGAAAGCGUGGGGAGCAAACAGGAUUAGAUACCCCUGGUAGUCCACGCCCUAAACGAUGUCAACUAGUUGUUGGGGAUUCAUUUCCUUAGUAACGUAGCUAACGCGUGAAGUUGACCGCCUGGGGAGUACGGUCGCAAGAUUAAAA
rnacentral:rRNA from 1 species